GAGUUUGAUCUUGGCUCAGAUUGAACGCUGGCGGCAUGCCUUACACAUGCAAGUCGAACGGCAGCAUGAUCUAGCUUGCUAGAUUGAUGGCGAGUGGCGAACGGGUGAGUAAUACAUCGGAACGUGCCCUGUAGUGGGGGAUAACUAGUCGAAAGAUUAGCUAAUACCGCAUACGACCUGAGGGUGAAAGUGGGGGACCGCAAGGCCUCAUGCUAUAGGAGCGGCCGAUGUCUGAUUAGCUAGUUGGUGGGGUAAAGGCCCGACCAAGGCGACGAUCAGUAGCUGGUCUGAGAGGACGAUCAGCCACACUGGGACUGAGACACGGCCCAGACUCCUACGGGAGGCAGCAGUGGGGAAUUUUGGACAAUGGGCGAAAGCCUGAUCCAGCAAUGCCGCGUGUGUGAAGAAGGCCUCGGUGUAAG
rnacentral:rRNA from 1 species